UCCUCCGCCACCUCCUUGCCGUCUCGCAUCCACCGCAUCGCCCCCUAUACACCUCACCUCCGCCGCCAUCGCCGGCUUGACCUGGUGCUGCCUCCUGUACGCCCUCCAUCCGUCGCUGCCCUCCCGUCCCGCCGCCGCCUCCUCUACGCCUCACCUCCACCGCCUCCCGUCCCGCCUCCGCCGUGCCGUCUCGCCUCCGACGGGUGCCGCCCCCUCCACUCCCCACCUCCGUCGUCGCCCGUCUACCAGCCGCCGCCUCAACCGGGUGCCUUCGCCUACUCUACGACAUCCCUCCGUCGCGCCCUUCUGUCUACGCCAGGUGCUCUGCCGCCUCCACGCCGGGUAUAUAGUUUUUUCCCUGUCUGAUUGCUGAUUACAUAAGUUUUUAAUUCGUGGAUAUCUGAUUGCUGAUUGGUGGAAACAACAACAUUUUACAAAUAUGUGGCAAUUAGUCGCUGGGUCCAUUUCCAGGUUGCUGAUAAAGUGAUUUGAAGUUUUAAACAAAGCAGACUAAAUUGCGUAUUUGAGAAAGAAGGCUGGUGACAAAUGAAUGUACCUAUAGUAAGGCUGAGGUACUAACUGUUGUAAAUUCAGCUAAUAUUAGUUACAGUAUUUAGGUUACAUUGUGUGACACAGAUAGGAAACUAUGAAAACAGUAUUUAGGUUACAAUAUAGUUCAGCUUUUGGUUAAUAUAUAGUCAGAAAUAAGUUGAACUCCUGUUCUUGUCAAUUAAAAUUGGAGUCAACAGACUAUUGGAGUCAACAGACUACAAGUUAAAUAGGAAUGGUAACAUCAUCCAUAGAUUCAAGUAGAGGAAUUUCACAUUUUUACCCAUUGAAAUGCUCCUUUAUUAAAUUUAUAUAUCAGAAAAGAAAUUCCAGUCUAUUAGUUUGGAUGGUCUGGGUAUCUGUAUUCCAUGACAAGUACGAGGGAUCUCCAAGAGUCCUGAAAAAGAAUCAAGGAUGAUUUUAUUAAUGCAACAUUUAGAAUUUAGAAUUUACAACGUUAGCUAAAGUCACGAAGUGUUUCAAUUACAUAAUCUGGUAAAAUUGCAUUGAAGUAACAGAAUAGCAGGCUCCCCGUGAAGGGGUCAUGUGAGAGGGAGGUAAGCCUCAAAACAUGCAUGUGAGUCGUUGUGCAGUACCAUAUACUAGCUAGCACAUUAUGCCAUCAUGACAACAACAACAUGGCAUACCGUGGCUUAAUGGAAAUGCAUAGGCCUCCUAUAGUCAGGCAUGCAACACCGAUGAAGUUAUUUUUGCCUCAAAUCCAAGAGGUUGUUGAAAGGACCAAAGCUGUUGACAAUACAAAACUAUCUACUGCAGGAGAAGUUGCAGAAACAAACACACAUUCCAUCUAAGAAAUUGUUUUUAUGCCUAUGAAUUAAUGAGCAGUGGUAACAGCUUAACAAUUGAGUGCAGCAGAGUUAAUUUUCAUCUAUUUGUGUAUUAUAAUCAAGCUAUUGUAUUGUAUGAUGGUGUUUUCUGUUUGUUGACUAGAUUGUUAGAGAAGAAAUAACAUAUAGUACUAUUAAUAUGUAGUCUGAUUUGAUCAUUCAGAUGGCAUUUUCUUUAUGUAAUGUAAUUGAACUCCUCUACUAGGUGUUUUUCUUUUUGUUGCCUAAAUGGUUAGAGAAGAAAUAUGAUAGAGUACUACUAAUAUCUAGGCUGAAUUGAUCAUUUAGAUGGCACUCCAAAACUCUCCCAUAACUUCUUUAGAAUAUGUAAGACUGUAAUUGCUUUAGUUUAGUUAGAUUAGCUGUAAUUACUACACCUGGAUGUAACCCCAUGCAAAUAUUAUACAUAGAGAAGUUAAACCAUCCCAUUAAUGUCACUAUCUUCAAGAUAUAUCAUAUAUGACUCAUUUUCAUUAGCUUACCUCAUUGUUCUCAUUUGCAUUGAGAUGGAUGGUGUCUUCUGCUGAAGUGACAAAAUCUGGAGUUGCAAUGCCAACAUCAAGUGGGUUCAUGCCUUUGUUGUCCAUCACAAGUGAUCGAUCUAAUGAAUCUGAUUUGGACAGCAACGCAUGAAGUUUGCUAUUGUGUACCCAAAUUUCUACACAUUUUAAACUGAAAGUAAUGAUUGGCUGCUAAAGUUUGCAUUUGGAGAUAAUCAAACUUAAAUUGAUUGUGCUGAAAUCUUAUAAUUUAAAUUGAUUCUAUCCUCUCAGACCAUUUUACUAACGGCCUGUUUAAUAUCAUUUUAUUUUCCAUCUGACAGGGAGUCUCCUAUUGCUUGCUAAAAGCACGUGAGCUGUCUUCCUCUCGGCCAACCGUCCCCAAUCUCAACUUAAAAGGUAUGUAUCUCCUUCAGUUGGACAUAUAUAGUUCAUAUUUCACUUGCAUGUAAUGUAUAAUCCAUUACUAUGUUUCAUUGAAUUGCAAUCUGCAAAUGAUAGGCAAGAGUGGAUCUGGUACUGUCUGAUUUACUGAGAUGACUCAAUAAUUACUCAGUCUCUAGAAAGUUAUUUUUUUUCCUAUUGCUGUGCUAUUUCCUGAAAGUUUCAUACUAUACAUUUAUGCUUUUUUUCAAUGAUCCCAUAGAAAUGCUUGAUCUGGUUUGUCCAUUCGGGAUUUUAAGUCCAUGCUGAAUUUUAAAGUUCCACCCAUGACUUUACUAAUUUAUUUUCACAUUGCAUUCAUUUAUUUACUUGAACUGAUUGUAUGAAAUGACUUUAAAGAAAGGUCGUUAUGAUUGUUUAGAUGCAUACUGUGUUCAACUGAUAAUUUGCCUGAAGGGAAUUAAAUGAGCAAGGCUUACUCAAUUUUGAAAAAAAAGUUUAUUGUGCUGAAAUCUUAUAAUCUAAAAUGAUUCUAUCCUCUCAGUCCAUUUUACUAACAGCCUGUUUAAUACCAUUUUCUUUCCUGCCCUGAAAUCAACAGAAACCAGCAAAAUGAUAGGUACACAGUUGAAAUUGCUAAUGCCGGAACAAUAUUCUUGAUCUGACAAAUUUGAAAUGAUAGCAGCUUUAAUACAGUAAAAGAAAGAUAUGUGAACUUCAUUGCCAAAGUUUGUAAUUAAAAAAUAAAACUCUCAUUCAUUUAUGGCCCUUAAAUUAUUUUAGGAUUUCUUGAGAUAUCAGCUGCAAUCAGCUAAACAGAAGAUUUUUUCUUAUUUUCUAGACCAGGGUGUCUUGAGUAGGUCUUUUGUAUAUCACUUUCACGUCACAGAAAUAGUUUCUUCCUGUUUGUGUUCCUACUGAGUGAACAACACAUCCACAGUUUAUACUGAUACUUUUUGUGUGAAGGAUAAGCUUACGCUAAUAAUUUUUGUAUAUUUUCUGGGUGAUGAUUCCAAAUGGAUACAAUUAAGAAUGUUAAAAAGUGGUUUUUUUGCCAGACAAAGAUCGGGCCAUCGUGGAUAACUACUAAAUUUGUAAGCACAUAAGAACUUAGACGGAUAACACCAGACAAAUCUUACAACAUCAUUCCUACAUCUAUACCUACAUCGUGGAUAAAACCAGACAAAUCUUACAACAUUAUUCCUACAUCUAUACCGGAAUAUGUAAAGUACAUAAGAACUUAGACGGUUUCUGCAUAUACAAGUUGUGAUAUCAUUUUACGCAUGUGUCUUUGUAAUCGGUACCAAUACAACAGCACAUUGUAUAGAUCCUUCUUGUGUGAAUUUAAACUAGCCUUAUUAUAUCUUUAAUCAUCAUCCUUUGGUUAUUUGCUUCAAUUUACUAAAUGACACCGUAGCAUUAGCACGGGCAUGUGACUAGUCUAUCCUAUAGUGCACCAACUCAUUUUACUCAUACUCAUGUGACACGUCCAACGGUCUGGAUCAAUCUACGCUAGAUCGGACGGCCCAGAUCAGUACGCUUCCUCCCUCCCAUCAUCCCGCGUGCGGCCUCCCCUCCACCUGCCUCCUCUACGCCGGCUCCCUCCGCUCGAACGCCUCCCAAACCCUAGCCCCCGCGCCACUCCCUUCUCGGUCGCCCUUCGGCCGCCGCCCCACUAUCGCCCNNNNNNNNNNNNNNNNNNNNNNNNNNNNNNNNNNNNNNNNNNNNNNNNNNNNNNNNNNNNNNNNNNNNNNNNNNNNNNNNNNNNNNNNNNNNNNNNNNNNNNNNNNNNNNNNNNNNNNNNNNNNNNNNNNNNNNNNNNNNNNNNNNNNNNNNNNNNNNNNNNNNNNNNNNNNNNNNNNNNNNNNNNNNNNNNNNNNNNNNNNNNNNNNNNNNNNNNNNNNNNNNNNNNNNNNNNNNNNNNNNNNNNNNNNNNNNNNNNNNNNNNNNNNNNNNNNNNNNNNNNNNNNNNNNNNNNNNNNNNNNNNNNNNNNNNNNNNNNNNCCCCUGCCCCCCGCUGGCGGCCCUACCGUCCCUCCAUCACCGCCUCCAUCGACCUCCGGCGCACUUCGUCGACCCCGCCGAGCUCACCGGCUACGCCGGUUCCGCCGAGCCAGACGCUGCCUCCUUCAUCUCCUCCAUUCACUGAGUGCGUCGACUCCAGCGUCGCGCUCGUCGAUCCCGCCGCCGCCGACUUCUCCGAAUCUGGUUAUUCCGCCGCCGCCCCCAUCCCUGCCUCCUUCGCCGGCACCUGUAAGCCCUGGUCAGUGAACGCCUCUAUGCCGGCCUGCAAUUUUGAGUUUUAAAUUAGACAUGGAUUCUUAUGUGAUGCUUCUUACCAUCUGACAAACAGCAAAGAAUUCUAAAUAAUUAACUGCAGAGAAAACAUGAUGUCAACAACUCAGAAAUGUAUUUGUCAUCUUUUCGAACAAGCUUUCAUGUUCUUGAAUGCCCUAUAUUUGACAUUUCUAAAUUUGCACAUAUAUUAGUUUUAACCAGAAAAUGUCUCUAUCCAUGUCUUGACGGAACAAUGAUGGAAUAGACUAACUCAGAGUUAUUUCAUCAGUUGGAGCAAAUUCACAUGUGGAUAUGAACAUUUUUCAGUAUAAGGACAUCAAUAAGCUAAAGGAACAAUGAUGGAUGAAUUUUAACUGCUGUUAAUCAACUACUAAAGUGGAACUGAAGUGCAGAACCUGAAAUUUCUUUUGGCUAAACUUGGUGAUGAACUGAUGACUGAUCAUACAAUUUUAUUAGAUCAUGACGUGAUGUGAAUCAUGUGAUAUUUCCAUCUGUUGCUAAAGCCAUUUUCAUUUAGCUCACUGCAACUUGCUUAAAUUUGUUUUCCAUAUAUUUCCCCACCUCCGUCACAGCACUGCUAUAUUUAUGGACAGUCAAAUAUAACAUUGGUUAAAGCCCCUUUUCUACUCAUAAUUGUUGCUUUUAAACUUGCCGGACUGAUAAAUGCCCUUUGAAAACUAAUCCUUGUCUUCUUCUUGCCUGAAGGGAAUUAAAUGAGCAAGGCUUACUCAAUUUUGAACUGCACUAAACUUUUUCAGUUUUCCAUAGAAUGAUAAGGGUAUGUUACUUUAUUGAUGACUAUGAUAUAACAUGGUAUUUGAGCCACUUUUGAUUCUAUCUGUUUUCUGCACAAAUGUUGGUAUGUUCUGCACAAAUGUUGAUCUAUUUUCCUCGUUAAUUUCCUCAUCACGUCUGAGUUAAAAAGAUAGGUAACAUUCACAUUAAGAAGUCUUUGACAGUCACUAGGCAGCAGUAUGGUGGUUUUGUUUGGAGAAACAUCAAGCAUUAUAUAACUCAGCCAACCUGUAUGGUUUCAUUUCAUAUCUGUUUUCUAAUUGCUGCAAUUUCUAACAUAUACACAGUACCAUUAGACUUAUUGAUUCUGAUAUAACAGGUAUACAAUGAAAUGAAUGUGUUUUCUCUUAAAAUUUUAGAGUCUCUGAUUUCUUUUUGUUUACUAGGAGUUUAGGACAUGGUUUAUUUAUUUAUUUCAUAGGAUCCACUUCAACUGUAUAUAUCCAUAUGCAGUAUAUGGUUUUUUAUAUUUAAGUGACAGUUUUGGUUGGCACAGAAAAAAAAAGGAAUUGGAGACUGUUUUAGCUGCCAAAUGCCAAAAUGGUUGUAGGCUAGCAUGCAGGCCUGGUGCAAAAGCAACACUAAAUUAUUUGUCUGACCGUGGAUUGUCUCUCUUCCCCACAAGUUAAUUUUCAUCUAUUUGUGUAUUAUAAUCGAGCUAUUGUAUUGUAUGAUGGUCAGAACUCUAUUGUUGGGUUAGAACAAUAAAUAAGCUUGAACUUCUGUGUACAUAUCUAAGGUACAUCAUCAUGAUAUGUAGAAUAGUAAACCAAUGUUGUAUAUGCUCGAUUUUUACAGUGAGUUGGGCAACUUUAAAUGAAAGGUGGACUAUUAAUAGGAGAUGGUACUAUUACUAUCUAGGUUGAAUUGAUUGUUCAGAUGACAUUCUCUUUAAUUUAAUUCAUGUGUUACAAGGUUUCCUCAUUUACUUUCCUUCCUUCUCUUUACAUGUUUUUUUUCUCUUUUUUGAUCUUUCUCUUGUUCAGUCAGACGAUUGGACAGACAGCCUCUUACCGUUGCCUCAUCGUCCUGCCUCUACAUGCCGCUGUCGCUGACACUCGCCUCACCGCACUGCCAAUAGUCUGCCAUUUGAUUCUCUUGGCAAGAGGAAGGCCCCGCCGGUUCGUCCUCUUUCUCCUGAACCUUCUCACAUCCUCCUAUCUCCUGUGUGAUUUUUGUUAAUUGGAAAAUUCGAUGCUAUGUUUCUUCGAUUGGGAUCAUGCUGCAACAGCAAAGGAUCUUGGGGAUUGGUUGUUGGAGCCAAUAAAAGGUUGUAUAACUUUGGAUUUUAUCACUAUUUAAAAGUUGUAUCCAGUAUAACGCUAUAUUGGAAUGGGUAUUUUACAUGUUUUAUACUUCAGUUGUGAUAAAAUAAUACCCCAGGUGAACAUGAACUUCUGAUUAUUAUUUCUUAAUUGUUCAACUGGACAUGUUUACUGAAUAUAUCCACUAACAAUUGGAUGUUUGUUUAGUUAUCAAGGAUAAGCUUGUCUGAUAUGUAGACAAAUAAACAAUUGGUCCAUAUUUGUGAUAAAAAGGAUCACUUAUCAAACCAUGGCAACAAACCAUAGCUGAUAGCUGAUUUCAGAUAGCUGAUUUGCAGAUAACUGACAACAAUUUUGUCUUUGUUUGUACAAAUGUCUUGUAGCAGAAAUUAAUUAGCACAAAUUAUACCAAGAUUAUCCCUCAAAAUAUAAUUCUGAGUUAUGACUUAAA
rnacentral:lncRNA from 1 species